GGGCGGCCUGCGUCACGUGGCGGGGGCGCGCGCGCCGCGGCGGCCUACGUCACGGCGACCGCGCGCCUACGGACAGGAGCUGCUAUUGCCUGAUCAACUGUGCCUUGGAUGUGGAACAUCUCCCUGGCUGCCUAUUUGUGUGCAUGCGUAGCUUUCCAGCAUCUCAGAGGGUACCUAUGGGAGUCCGACCACAUUGCUUGGACUGCUGCUGAGGCCAAAGAUCUUGAAGCCCUCAGAAUGGAGUAAAGCUGAUGAUGUCCCUCCUAGCUGCAUGCGAGUUCAAUUGGAGUUCCCAGGAAGAGGUUCCUCACAGAGGGUGGAUAGGUCUCCUGAGGAUCUUACUGCUCUUGUCUCCCCACUGUGGGCACUUGCCAACUGUUAGCUCUUUUGUGUUUGCUCUUGGAUACAAGUAACCACAGUGGGGGAAUGGAAGAUACGGGAUUUUGGUCCUAAAAUAAGGAUGUUUGUCUGAAUUUGUUUCUGUAGAUAAUCCGAAAAUACCAGAAUAAAGAAGAUUUUUGCUCUUUGGUCUUA